CCAGGGCUGUGCUCAUAUGCUGACCCGGAGAUUAACCACAGAAGAAUCCUCUGCUGGCUCUGGGAGCAGAGACAUCAGAACCCCAAGUUCUCUGGCCUUCAGACUCCAGGGCUUGGCCAGCAGCUUCCUGUGUCCUUGGGCCUAUGACCUUGGAAUAGGCAUUGCUUCCAUCACUUUCCCUCAAUCUAGAAUUGAACUGAAGCUGGCUACUGACUUCCUUGGCUCGCCAGGUUGCAGAUGACAUGCUGCGGGAUUCCUCAGCCUCCAAGCUCACAAGGACUAAUGCCUUUCAGUCAUCACCUCUUCAACAUGAGACUCUCAGCUACUAAGCAGUGGCCCUGGCGGCUCAAGUGAGAGGCUAAGCAAGUUUCUCCCCUUGACAUC